CCGUAGCCCAAGAGAUCGGGAUAACACCUGGAAACAGAUGCUAAUACCGGAUAACAACAGAUGAUGCCUAUCAACUGUUUAAAAGAUGGUUCUGCUAUCACUCUUGGAUGGACCUGCGGUGCAUUAGCUAGUUGGUAGGGUAACGGCCUACCGAGGCGAUGAUGCAUAGCCGAGUUGAGAGACUGAUCGGCCACAUUGGGACUGAGACACGGCCCAAACUCCUACGGGAGGCAGCAGAC
rnacentral:rRNA from 1 species